rnacentral:rRNA from 1 species
GAUGAACGCUGGCGGCGUGCCUAAUACAUGCAAGUCGAGCGAACAGACGAGGAGCUUGCUCCUCUGACGUGAGCGGCGGACGGGUGAGUAACACGUGGAUAACCUACCUAUAAGACUGGGAUAACUUCGGGAAACCGGAGCUAAUACCGGAUAAUAUAUUGAACCGCAUGGUUCAAUAGUGAAAGACGGUUUUGCUGUCACUUAUAGAUGGAUCCGCGCCGCAUUAGCUAGUUGGUAAGGUAACGGCUUACCAAGGCAACGAUGCGUAGCCGACCUGAGAGGGUGAUCGGCCACACUGGAACUGAGACACGGUCCAGACUCCUACGGGAGGCAGCAGUAGGGAAUCUUCCGCAAUGGGCGAAAGCCUGACGGAGCAACGCCGCGUGAGUGAUGAAGGUCUUCGGAUCGUAAAACUCUGUUAUUAGGGAAGAACAAAUGUGUAAGUAACUAUGCACGUCUUGACGGUACCUAAUCAGAAAGCCACGGCUAACUACGUG